CCCUUCCUCCCCGUGCGACUGCUCUGCCCGCCGGAGCCCUCUGUUCGCAGCCCGAGCCCACCUCCCUCCUGCCGGUUCUCCUAUGAUUUCCCCGGGUUGGCAGAGGGCUGCGCCAGGAGAUGGCAGAUGAUUUCACACCGCAAAGAACUCGCGAAGCAACAUGGCGUUGUGGGAGCGGAUGACAGUCGGUAAUUAGUGGCAGGCUGCGGGGAUCUUCCUCGCUCACAAUGGGAAGGAAGCUGCUCGGAGCGGGGACACGGAGCUGGCACAGCGGCAGGGAAGCGGCCUCGAGUUGCGUGCAAGAGUCGGAGGAAUUUCUUCCUUUAGGUAUCGGUGCUUAGGACCGGGGGGCACGCUUGGCUAGAGACGGACCUUCAUUGUUCGGCCGCUCGUUAUCCUGCAUGUCACAGAGGUUGCUACGAGACCACUCCCUUUUCUCUGUGCCACUAUUGGACUAAAUCUACUUGGGCUCCCGGGACGUCGCGAAUUGUCUUCAGAGCGUGGGAACCCCGGCGUGUGCCCUCAGCUCCGCUCAGCAGCUUGGCACCGCCGCCGCUUCUUCUCCCCGGGUAUCUCGGGCUGCUCCUGCCGGGCUGGGGCUGCUCCUCCUGCCCCGGAAACAAUGGGAGCUCCCGGCCCAUUGUGUGGGCUCAGCGCAGAGCCGUGCGUGGGUGCGGGGACACGGGUGGCCGUGCCCAGGUGGGAGCCGCCGUGUGCGGGGUCAUCAGGGACCGGCUCAGCCCCCGCACGGCCCGGAUAACCGCGGGGCUCAAACGCAGAGAUCUGGGUCGUUUCCAGAAUAAAGAACGUGUUGGAAGCGCAGUCAGCUGUCGGGUAUUUAAGAAUGGGAUUUAGCCCGCAACAGGGCCACAUAUGUAAGUGCUUAUCUAAAGAAGACAUAAAAUACAAUAAGCUUUGGGGGAAAAAUUCAUGAUUCAGCAAAAAUAAAGGGAGUAAUAUAUUUACCCGGAGAUGCAAGUUAUCAGCUAGCGUGCAUUUGGCUGGUGUAAUGUUUAAAGGAAAAUACUGUAUAAUUCCUGUUUGGAGAACGUGUUCACGGUAUGGGUGGAAAAACAUUAGUUCCAUCUAACAUGAAGAGUAGCAAAUGUCUGUUGUUAUUAAAGGCAGCACGUAAUAUAUAUACCUGAGAAAUGUACUCUAGGCGCUAGAAAGCAUUUUCUAGACUCCGGUUUUACUAGUGUUUUACCGAAUAAAAUUUUAACAGAAAUGCGUGUGCAUGGUGAAAUGUAAAGCUAAUUGGAGAACACGGGAUCGUAUCGCGGUAUCGGGUAACUCUCUGCUGGGAGGUGGAUGGUGCAGGGAGCACCCAGGGCUUGAGCCGAGGGCACGUAGGCGCUGCAAAGCACUCAGCCGAGGCCAGCUGGCUGCCUCUGCCCCGCACCCGG
rnacentral:lncRNA from 1 species